UACAGAGGUGGCAAGCGUUGUUCGGAAUUACUGGGCGUAAAGGGCGCGUAGGCGGCCUACUAAGUCAGACGUGAAAUCCCCCGGCUUAACCUGGGAACUGCGUCUGAUACUGGAAGGCUUGAGUAUGGGAGAGGGAUGUAGAAUUCCAGGUGUAGCGGUGAAAUGCGUAGAUAUCUGGAGGAAUACCGGUGGCGAAGGCGGCAUCCUGGACCAUUACUGACGCUGAGGCGCGAAAGCUAGGGGAGCAAACGG
rnacentral:rRNA from 1 species